CCGCGGUAAUACGAAGGGGGCUAGCGUUGUUCGGAUUUACUGGGCGUAAAGCGCGUGUAGGCGGGCUGGAAAGUUGGGGGUGAAAUCCCGAGGCUCAACCUCGGAACUGCCUCCAAAACUUCCAGCCUGGACUCAAGUAGAGGCAAGUGGAAUUGCGAGUGUAGAGGUGAAAUUCGUAGAUAUUCGCAGGAACACCAGUGGCGAAGGCGACUUGCUGGACUUGUAGUGACGCUGAGACGCGAAAGCGUGG
rnacentral:rRNA from 1 species